UGCCAGCCGCCGCGGUAAGACGGAGGGUGCAAACGUUGUUCGGAAUCACUGGGCAUAAAGCGCACGUAGGCGGCUUGCUAAGUCAGAUGUGAAAGCCCUCGGCUCAACCGGGGAACUGCAUUUGAAACUGGCUGGCUAGAGGAUGGUAGGGGUAAGCGGAACUCCAGGUGGAGCGGUGAAAUGCGUAGAUAUCUGGAGGAACACCGGUGGCGAAAGCGGCUUACUGGACCAUAUCUGACGCUGAGGUGCGAAAGCCAGGGUAGCAAACGGGAUUAGAUA
rnacentral:rRNA from 1 species